AAGGGCCUUAAGAUUGUUUAAUUCAAACAAGGGAAGGAAAGGUAGAAAAAAGGCUAUGUGGGUAAUAGUAAAGGCUCCUCGACAACAAGAUGCCAAACAAUGUGGUUACUAUGUGAUGUGAUUUAUGAGACAAAUUGUUGAAGAAGUUGAAAUUAUCGAAAGAGAUUCACUACGAUCUAUAUUCACACAAGCAGAGUAUUCUCGAGAAGAAAUUGAUGAGGUGUGAUCGGAGUUGGCAGAAUGUAUACAAGAUCAUAUUUAUGAGUAGGUGCAUUCA